rnacentral:lncRNA from 1 species
CGCCGCCUCCCAGCGGGUGGCGCUGGCGAGUCGCCGACGGAGAGCGGCGGGGGCUGCGCGGGAGCGGAGCGGGAACGGGAACGCACCGGGAACGCACCGGGAACGGGAACGCACCGGGAACGGGAACGCACCGGGAACGGGAACGCACCGGGAACGCACCGGGAACGGAGCCGGAGCGGAGCCGGGAGAGGGAACGGAGCGGGAGUGGGAGCGGGAGCCGGGUCUGGCGCGGCAGCCCCGUCGUGGGUGGCGGGAGGCUGCGGAGAAGUGUAUUCAGGAUGAGAUCUUACCAAGCAGCAGAAAUCUAUUAAGUAUGCAUGUC